GACGAACGCUGGCGGCGUGCUUAACACAUGCAAGUCGAACGAAGAGAGAUGGAAGCUUGCUUCUAUGGAUCUUAGUGGCGAACGGGUGAGUAACGCGUAAUCAACCUGCCCUUCAGAGGGGGACAACAGUUGGAAACGACUGCUAAUACCGCAUACGAUCUAAUUUCGGCAUCGAGAUUAGAUGAAAGAUGGCCUCUAUUUAUAAGCUAUCACUGAAGGAGGGGAUUGCGUCUGAUUAGCUAGUUGGAGGGGUAACGGCCCACCAAGGCGAUGAUCAGUAGCCGGUCUGAGAGGAUGAACGGCCACAUUGGGACUGAGACACGGCCCAGACUCCUACGGGAGGCAGCAGUGGGGAAUCUUCCGCAAUGGACGAAAGUCUGACGGAGCAACGCCGCGUGAGUGAUGACGGCCUUCGGGUUGUAAAGCUCUGUUAAUCGGGACGAAUGGUUCUUGUGCAAAUAGUGCGAGGAUUUGACG
rnacentral:rRNA from 1 species